ensembl:lncRNA
GAGUGGGCGGGUUCUUGCCGGGGUCCGGGCUCCCAGAGGGCUCUGGGGUGGUACCCUGCCAGCCUGAUACGAGGCGUGGGCUUUGGGUUGGAAGUGGGCAGCAAGGCAAGAAGAGCUCAAACGGGUCAAGUAGCUGGUGAGGUGGGAUUCGAACCAGGUAUCUGACGCCUGCAUCGCUCUGGCAUGAUACUGUCCAUAUUGAGAACGGAUGUAUCAUAUCCCUAGCCCAGUCUAGGAAAGGUCAAGGAAAAAAAACGAAUCUCUAGGGGUCCACCACUCACUGUCAUUUCGAUGAUCUGGAAGAAACCAAAAGGCCCUGGCCUGACUUACCGAUAGCGCAGGGGUCUGAAGGCAUUGCUGCUACAUUCAGUUUAUUUUUGGAUGAACUGUAAAGAAGAGUCUACCUUAACUUUAAGAUGUGGUACAGGUCUUCCGUGGCGGUCCGGUGGCUAAGACUCCGUGCUCUCAAGGCAGGGGCCUGGGUUCCAUCCCUGGUCCAACAGUUGGAUCCCACAUGCUGCAACUAAAGAUCAGCUAAAGAUUCCACAUGCCGCCAGAAAGAUCGAAGAUCCCAAGUGCUACAACUGGAAAGAAAAGAAAAGAAAAAAAAAAAAACUCAAAAAGGUGUCAUUCAGUAAAUACCUUUUGAAUGCCUGCUGUCUUCUUCUAGAUACUGGGGGUUUGCCUGUACCUCUUGAAGCUUUGAUUCUAGUGGAGUAGAUGGAUAUUAAGU